rnacentral:rRNA from 1 species
AUUCUGCCAGUAGUCAUAUGCUUGUCUCAAAGAUUAAGCCAUGCAUGUCUAAGUAUAAGCAAUUAUACCGUGAAACUGCGAAUGGCUCAUUAAAUCAGUUAUCGUUUAUUUGAUAAUACCUUACUACUUGGAUAACCGUGGUAAUUCUAGAGCUAAUACAUGCUGAAAAUCCCGACUUCGGAAGGGAUGUGUUUAUUAGAUAAAAAACCAAUGCCCUUCGGGGCUCCUUGGUGAUUCAUAAUAACUUUACGGAUCGCAUAGCCUUGCGCUGGCGACGGUUCAUUCAAAUUUCUGCCCUAUCAACUUUCGAUGGUAAGGUAUUGGCUUACCAUGGUUUCAACGGGUAACGGGGAAUUAGGGUUCGAUUCCGGAGAGGGAGCCUGAGAAACGGCUACCACAUCCAAGGAAGGCAGCAGGCGCGCAAAUUACCCAAUCCCGAUUCGGGGAGGUAGUGACAAUAAAUACUGAUACAGGGCUCUUUUGGGUCUUGUAAUUGGAAUGAGUACAAUUUAAACCUCUUAACGAGGAACAAUUGGAGGGCAAGUCUGGUGCCAGCAGCCGCGGUAAUUCCAGCUCCAAUAGCGUAUAUUAAAGUUGUUGCAGUUAAAAAGCUCGUAGUUGAAACUUGGGUCUGGCUGGCGGGUCCGCCUCACCGCGUGCACUCGUCCGGCCGGGCCUUCCUUCUGAAGAACCUCAUGCCCUUUACUGGGCGUGUUGGGGAAUCAGGACUUUUACUUUGAAAAAAUUAGAGUGUUCAAAGCAGGCCUUUGCUCGAAUACGUUAGCAUGGAAUAAUAAAAUAGGGCGUGCGUUUCUAUUUUGUUGGUUUCUAGAGACGCCGCAAUGAUUAACAGGAACAGUCGGGGGCAUCAGUAUUCAGUUGUCAGAGGUGAAAUUCUUGGAUUUACUGAAGACUAACUACUGCGAAAGCAUUUGCCAAGGAUGUUUUCAUUAAUCAGUGAACGAAAGUUAGGGGAUCGAAGACGAUCAGAUACCGUCGUAGUCUUAACCGUAAACUAUGCCGACUAGGGAUCGGGCGAUGUUCUUUUUCUGACUCGCUCGGCACCUUACGAGAAAUCAAAGUUUUUGGGUUCUGGGGGGAUUAUGGUCGCAAGGCUGAAACUUAAAGAAAUUGACGGAAGGUCACCACCAGGCGUGGAGCCUGCGGCUUAAUUUGACUCAACACGGGGAAACUCACCAGGUUCAGAUGAAAUAAGGAUUGACAGAUUGAGAGCUCUUUCUUGAUUUUUCAGGUGGUGGUGCAUGGCCGUUCUUAGUUCGUGGGGUGACUUGUCUGCUUAAUUGCGAUAACGAGCGAGACCUUACUCUGCUAAAUAGCCAGGCUAGCUUUGGCUGGUCGCCGGCUUCUUAGAGAGACUAUCAACUCAAGUUGAUGGAAGUUUGAGGCAAUAACAGGUUAACC